ensembl:lncRNA
ACCGAUUGAUCCUUUGCCAGAGGACCGGGGGUGGGGAAAGAGAGAUGAGCGUUCGCACACAGGCCUUAACCAGACCCCCAAGCCACUAACAAAAGACCUGAUGACUCAGCCACCAAACAGGACUUGAACCCGUGGCAGCUGCUUUUCCCCACCCGGUGUAGCUGCUCUCCGGAAACCACGCCUUGUAGGAACUCAAUCAAUUCUUGUUAACGCUCUCGCCCCAGACAAGCAGCUUUGAAGAAAGCCGUUUUAGGCAACACCAUCAGCCUUUUGCUGUCGUUCACUAAGGGUUUAGCAGCUCGGUAUUGAUUUCCUUGCGGCUGCCUCUGAACUUUAAUUCCUGCUGCAGAAAAACAAGGCUUUCUCUGGGACAUUUCCUGUCCAAGUGGCGGGUAACAACCAUUCCUGGGAUGCUGAUUUCCCCAGCGAUGCUGCGAACUGCAGGAUGCCUGCAACACGGCCUUUGUCUGUUCCAAAGAGUGAUUUCUGUAGCUGCAGGAGAUCCCUUCAAAUGUGAGCUGCAGCUCCACCUCCAUCCUAAGUCAGCGGUACCUUCCAACCCCCACUUUUGGAAAUCCAAUGACCACCCCCUUUUCCUCACACUGAUUUGCAGCCGCAAGCUUUAAGAAGGUGCUUAGUAUUUAAAUCAUGUUUGUUGCAUCCAGGUUUCUCUCCAAUGUUAAUUCCUAGCGAUCGGAAAAGACCUUAAUAAUCUUCUCUUGCAAGUACCGCUCCGAUAGUUUAUCCCCUCUACAAGAUCUCCACCAAGUGGCCAUUCUGGCUUUGCUUGAACACCUCUGAGGACAGGAAACUCACCCCCUCCAUAGGAAAGCUAUUGCCUCUCAGGAAACCUCCGAGAGGUAGAAAAUUUCACUGUGUGGCAUCAAACUUCACCUUCCUAAAACAUCAGUCUUUCAAGGAGACUGUCAGCAUCCCCAGCACUGAGAAAGGACUGGAAUCUCUGUGUUUGUCCACCACUAAAAUCACCACAUUAUCUGGCACGUAGUAGGUACUUAAUGUUUGUUAAGUUAAUGAAUGCAUGAAGUCAACAGUUACUGAGUAUCUAGGCAGGGCCACGCAUCGUGCUUGCAUAAUGCACACCUUAGCUAGGAACAAGUCAUGUUGAUAUGGAAUCCGGCAAGACAACAGCUUACCUGGUUGUGCUCACUCUGAAUCCCGGGCUCUUGACUAUGUAACAAAUGGCCCACUUUUCCAGGUAGCCCUGGUGAGGCUUUUUAACUCUGACUCUAUAAAGAUAACAGGAGGAUUUGUUGAAUAUCUAACCCCACGAUGGGAUAAAAGCUGAACAGAGUUUAUGUUGUUGAGAGGCAGUGUCGUAUAAUAGACAACAUGGACUCUGGUGCCACUUAAUAGUUCAGUAACUUCCCAAGGAUACACAGCUAAUCAGUGGCAGAGCUGGGAUCCAGUCUUGGAGUUGCCUGCUCCAGAGCCUGCAUUCUCUCCACUCUUCCGAGCUUUCUGAAAAAUGGGGACGUCCUUUACACUGUGAAAGGAUAGUCAAGUCUGGCAGGACAUGUCCCACCAGAGAAGCAAAUUUCUCCUAGCCACUAAGCAGGCCUCGGGGGAGCCCUGCUUCCGGUGCAUACCUUCUGUCUCUGCAGUUAGUAAGCAUGGAAGUGAUGCUGCAGCCAACAGCUCAUGAGGCUGGAGUGAGUCGAGUGGUCACUCAGUGGCCCCUGGCAGUCUGC